rnacentral:rRNA from 1 species
UACGGAGGGAGCGAGCGUUGUUCGGAAUUACUGGGCGUAAAGCGUGCGCAGGCGGAUUUCCAAGUCAGGAGUGAAAUCCCCGGGCUCAACCCUGGGGAAUUGCUUUUGAAACUGGAUAUCUGGAGUCUCGGAGAGGUUGGCGGAAUUCCCAGUGUAGAGGUAGAAAUUCGUAGAUAUUGGGAGGAACACCAGUGGCGUAAGCGGCCAACUGGACGAGUACUGACGCUCA